AAAUGCUUCUUAGUAAAACUGCAGUACACAGACAAUCUAUCCUACUACUAUUCAUAAUGCAACAAAAGUGCAUUAUUCGUUGUGUCAGAUACAUGAAGUAGGCUUUAAUUAGAAUUGGACUAACAAAUUAAAGGGUCAUCCAACUAAUAUAUGGACUAUGAACAACACAAAGGAAACAUUACAUCAUUCCUACGUAUAAGAAUUACAUUUCAAAACUAACAAACUUGUUAAAUUAUUUCAAAAUUCACUUGUUAAUUCCAAUUAAAAAUAUAUAUAAUACAUAAUUAAUUGGAAUUAAUUACUCCAUCGCACUAAAUUAAUAAUAUCCUAGGACCCCAUCCCAUCCCUAAUGCACCACCACUAACACCUUAAACUAAAAUCCACAAUCAUAAUAAUACGUUUAUCCACAUAUUUUCAGAUAUUAUAAUUUUUUUCUAGACAUGAUACCGCAACAACCCCACCCCACCCCACCCCAUCCUAUCCCACGCCACGACGGAAAAUUCUCCAGAAAUUAAAUAUUGUUUCUCUCGCUACUCACUUCACCUCACAUGUAGGAAACUCUUUAGAAAUCGUGGUAGUGGUAGUUUUGCAUUGUAAGUGAUUAGAUUUGUGACUACCUAUGUACUCUGUGACCAAAUUUAUUAUUUGUGACUAGGUCGAUGUUGUUUCAUAAAAAUUUGUGAUUAUAUGUAACCAAGUUACUAACACGUGUUACAUGUAAUUAAUUGUGAAAAAAUUUAUUUUCGAUUUGAUUGUCUGUGACCAACUAAUUGUGAUUGUAUUUAAUCAAAUCACAAACUAGCUCUAUCUGUGAUUAACUGUGAUCCAAUUUAUCUUCAGUGUGACUAAUUGUGACCAAUUUUAUGUUUAGUAUGACUAUCUGUGAUCAGUUCAAUCUUAAUCGUGACGGUAUGUGAUUAAAUCAUAAUCGAUCACAAUCAAAAAAGAAUUAGUCACAAAAAGCAAAUACUUGGUCACACUUGUUUGCUACCACUACCACCAUUACCAGUGGCGGAGCCACGUUGAAACGAGUGCGGGCAUAUUUUAGGCUCGAACUUUUUUCUCAAUUUUUUUCCUCUAAAGUAACAGGGGAGGUGGAAUAAAAACAUGUUUUAAUUUAUAUGGGUUUUAUUUUUAGGCUCAAACCCAUGAUUUGUUUUAUAGUUUUAUUAUCAUUAAAUUCAUGACCAAGACAUAAUAUUCGACAUGGGUUAAAUUAUUUCCGUACUGAACAAAUUUUCUGGCUCUGCCUCCAUUACUAACAUCUUCGAAAAACAAAUGCGUACCACCUUACCAUGAUCACCUGCACCACCAUCAACGGAACCAAUGCCAUCUGCAGAUCAAAAAAAUGACCUUCACCAUUUACAAAACACCAAGGACCGUCCCAAAAAUCUGGCUAAAUAACAUAGCCACAACCAUCCACAUUGCAAACCAUUCUCGACAGAUCCCCAACCUACCACUGCACACAAUGCCACACACAUCACAUCACUAGCACCAUCUCAACCUACCACUACCAAGAAGCAGCCUCAGCCCACCUGCACAUACAACGAUUGGGUGUCGGUGCUUCUUGAAAAGAACGAAAUAGUAUCUUUGAAAAAAAAUAUCAAUCUAAAGAAGAAGAUCAGAAAAGCAUCUUCGUGAAAUGAAAAAAUCAACUUAGCUUGCAGCAACGCCGACAGCGACGAAGCUUCUCUCCAUCGUUGUGUUGCGAUAAGUUUCUCGUCGUCACUAGUGCUGCAAGUAGCGGCAAGCGCUGUCGCAACAUUAGCCCGAUGAGAAGCUUCGUCGCGGCCGGUGAUGCUGGAGAUGGGUAAUGAGUGAGGCGGGUGGAUGGGUAAAGAGAGAGAAGGAAUAGUGGUGGAGGAAUGAGGUUUGUCGUCGGGGUGACCGAUGGAGGAGUGAGGCGGCGGUAGAGGGUAGGACGGGUGCAUAGAGAGAGAGGGAGAGUAGAAAUGACAGGGUUUGAAAAUGAAAUUAUUAGAUUUAAUUUGAUUUUCAUUAGUUACAAUAAAUUUAUUUAUCACAUGAAAUUUGAAUUUUAAACUUGAACCCUUAUUUGUGAAAACCAAUCUUUAAUUGUAUGGUUCUUAUUAAUUUUCCCCAAAAAUUAAUAGUUGUUUCCAAUGACCCAAUUUAUUUUUGGGUCAAGUCAAUCAAUUGUGGAAUUGAUAAACAUUUCACUUAUUAGUCGAAGUCUAUGAAAUUAAUCUAUCUGUUUAAACAUCAUUGUUAGAAUUUAUUGAGUAUUAACAAAACCCAGCGCAUAUCAUAAAAAAUAUAAGUUAAUCAAAUUGUAAUUAAGCAUGGCAAGAAUAAAUAAUUUAUAAUUUAUUCAAUCAUCCACCAUAAUGCAUGAGAAUUAUAUUAGUAGAUUUUUCACCAGGUAAAAAGUCUUUAGGUUAAGCAGAUUUUUUUUGAAGAAAAUUAAAGUUCAAUGGAUCGAUUGAUUGAUAAGUAUAAGGUCAGACUUGGAGCCAAAGGAUUUAGAUAUUAAAAAAGGCUUCACUUUCUCAAGUACAUAUUUACAGGUUACUGAGAUAGCUUUCAUCAUAUAAGAGAAUUUUGCUAUUUGACACCUCGGUGUACACUUAGCCAAGCCCUAUAUUGGAAUAUUAAUUGGCAAUGCAUCAUUGCAGAAUCUCAAAAUUCAACUAAUAGUCGUUAAGUCGACAACUUUUCCAAAUGGAGAGCUACAAGAAAACAUAUGUGAAAAUACCCUUGGUUUCAGUUCAUUUUUGAUUCAGGAGGUUCGAUUACAGUUAAAAUGCACAUCUCUAAUAUGUUUUCACCUAUGAAUGGGAGCACAUUCCCAUCAUUCAAUGUCUUUCAAUUUCAAGAAGUCACUGAAGUCAUCAUCAAUUUUAAAAGUUUGAUAUUCUCAGUAACUUUCUGUGGAUCAAGAUACGCUUUCUAAUUAAUUUUAUGUCUAUGUAAAUUUCAUAAUCAUGAAGUUUCAAAUUUGGAAAUUAAGGUUUAUGUAAAGUAUUAUUUUGCAUAAAAUUAUACGACAAUAGCAUUAAUUUUAGACUUGUUUAAUGACAUUAACAACACUUAUUCAAUAACAAUAAAAAGAACAUAUGAUCAGAAGUAGUUACUUAUUCAAAACUGGAGAUUAAUUUAUUAGAAAAACAUUAUCAGCUUCACAAAAAAAGCUGAAGUAAAUGCUUCUUAGCAAAUCUGCAGCACACAGACAAUCUAUCCUACUAUUCAUAAUGCAACAAAAAUGCAUUAUUCGUAGUGUCAGAUACAUGAAGUAGGGCUUUAAUUAAACCCAUAAGGCACCAGCUCUUUUAAGCAUUGGCUUUAAGGAUUGCCGGAGGUGGAGACUCAUGACCUCAUUUUCCCCACCGACAAAUUCACCACCGAUGAAGACUGCCGGAAC
rnacentral:lncRNA from 1 species